rnacentral:rRNA from 1 species
CCUACGGGAGGCAGCAGUGAGGAAUAUUGGUCAAUGGACGCAAGUCUGAACCAGCCAUGCCGCGUGCAGGAAGACGGCUCUAUGAGUUGUAAACUGCUUUUGUACGAGGGUAAAUCCCGAUACGUGUAUCGGGUUGAAAGUAUCGUACGAAUAAGGAUCGGCUAACUCCGUGCCAGCAGCCGCGGUAAUACGGAGGAUUCAAGCGUUAUCCGGAUUUAUUGGGUUUAAAGGGUGCGUAGGCGGUUCGAUAAGUUAGAGGUGAAAUGUCCGGGCUCAACUCGGGAACUGCCUCUAAUACUGUUGAUCUAGAGAGUAGAUGCGGUAGGCGGAAUGUAUGGUGUAGCGGUGAAAUGCUUAGAGAUCAUACAGAACACCGAUUGCGAAGGCAGCUUACCAAUCUAUAUCUGACGUUGAGGCACGAAAGCGUGGGGAGCAAACAGGAUUAGAUACCCGAGUAGUC